rnacentral:tRNA from 1 species
GAAGGUAUAGCUCAGUGGUAGAGUGCAUGCUUAGCUUGCACAAGGUUGGUUCAAUCCCCAGUACCUUCG